rnacentral:rRNA from 1 species
AAUAGAUACCCUGGUAGUCCACGCUGUAAACGUUGGACACUAGGUGUGGCGGUCUGAUCGAACGACUGCCGUGCCGAAGCUAACGCAUUAAGUGUCCCGCCUGGGGAGUACGGCCGCAAGGCUAAAACUCAAAGGAAUUGACGGGUCCCCGCACAAGCGGCGGAGCAUGCGGCUUAAUUCGAUGCAACCCGAAGAACCUUACCUGGGUUUGACAUCAUGGGAAAAGCCGUGGAAACACGGUGUCCGAAAGGGCCCAUGACAGGUGGUGCAUGGCUGUCGUCAGCUCGUGUCGUGAGAUGUUGGGUUAAGUCCCGCAACGAGCGCAACCCUUGUCCUAUGUUGCCAGCGGUUCGGCCGGGGACUCAUAGGAGACUGCCGGGGAUAACUCGGAGGAAGGUGAGGACGAUGUCAAGUCAUCAUGCCCCUUAUAUCCAGGGCUGCACGCAUGCUACAAUGGUCGGGUACAACGGGCAGCGAUCCUGCGAAGGUGAGCGAAUCCCACAAAGCCGGCCUCAGUUCGGAUUGG